rnacentral:rRNA from 1 species
UACGUAGGGCGCAAGCGUUAUCCGGAAUUAUUGGGCGUAAAGAGCUCGUAGGCGGUUCGGCAAGUCAGCUGUGAAAUCUCCACGCUCAACGUGGAGGGGUCAGCUGAUACUGCUGUGACUUGAGUCCGGUAGGGGAGUGUGGAAUUCCCGGUGUAGCGGUGAAAUGCGCAGAUAUCGGGAGGAACACCAGUAGCGAAGGCGGCACUCUGGGCCGGUACUGACGCUGAGGAGCGAAAGCGUGGGGAGCAAACAGG